rnacentral:rRNA from 1 species
CAUGCAAGUCGAACGGUAACAGGCCGAUGGGAGCCCUUCGGGGUGACCUUGGUGCUGACGAGUGGCGGACGGGUGAGUAACGCGUAGGAAUCUGCCUGGCAGCGGGGGACAACUCCGGGAAACCGGAGCUAAUACCGCAUACGCCCUACGGGGGAAAGAUGGGGAUCUUCGGACCUGUCACUGCCAGAUGAGCCUGCGUUAGAUUAGUUUGUUGGUAGGGUAAUGGCCUACCAAGACGACGAUCUAUAGCUGGUCUGAGAGGAUGAUCAGCCACACUGGGACUGAGACACGGCCCAGACUCCUACGGGAGGCAGCAGUGGGGAAUAUUGGACAAUGGGCGGAAGCCUGAUCCAGCAAUGCCGCGUGUGUGAAGAAGGCCUUAGGGUUGUAAAGCACUUUCAAUUGGGAAGAAAAGUAUACGGUUAAUACCCGUGUACCUUGACGGUACCUUUAUAAGAAGCACCGGCUAACUCCGUGCCAGCAGCCGCGGUAACACGGAGGGUGCAAGCGUUAAUCGGAAUUACUGGGCGUAAAGCGCACGCAGGCGGUUUGCUAAGUCAGAUGUGAAAUCCCCGGGCUUAACCUGGGAACUGCAUUUGAUACUGGCAAACUAGAGUAUGGUAGAGAGAAGUAGAAUUCCACAUGUAGCGGUGAAAUGCGUAGAGAUGUGGAGGAAUAUCAGUGGCGAAGGCGGCUUCUUGGACCAAUACUGACG